CAUCUUCGGGGUCGGGUGCAAGUCCCAACCGGCAGUAAAUGAAGCCUGCGACCUGCAACUCGUGUUUAUGAGUUGUGGCUGAUCUAGUGAGAAUCUAGAGCCGACAGUAUAGUCUGGAUGGGAGAAGAUG
rnacentral:ncRNA from 1 species